rnacentral:lncRNA from 1 species
GUACUCAUAAAUCAUGUUUUUAUUUUGAAAACAUAGCCGUUCCUUGGCGUUGGCUGAGUUCGCCCUCACGUGGUGGUUUGGCGUGAAGUGAACUCUAAAAGUUAUUCCUCGAGAGUUACCCUACUCGCCUCUCCAAUCGAUGUAAAAUAUGUCAAGAUUCUGUGCCCCUCUAAUAGGCUGGUCCACAGAACCCAGCCCACUGCAGUAAGCACAACCCACCAUACAAUAAAAUUUUGACAGCAUGACAUGACUAAUAUUAUACUUCCCAGCCUGUAAAUGUAAAACAGAACAAUUCAUAUAGUUCACAAACCACAAUCCCAGCCAGUCAUGCCAACACAUUAUCAUAAGCCAUCAAUUAUAAUCAUGAAUUUACAACACAUGAAAACAAUCUCCAAUUACUCUAUUUUCAAACCAUCAUUCAAUUUCAAAACAAUUUUAUGAAAUCAUUUCAUUAAAUCACAUUUUGUUUAUAAAAUCAAAAAAUUAAUCAUUUAAUUCAUUUUCCAUAAAAUUCACAAAAUCGAAUAAAACCACUUUAGAUAAUUAAGACGAUAGUAAGGUUACUCACAGUACUAGGAGUUUGAUAUACUCCUAUUUUCGGUCUUCGGGCACAAUCUCUUUACCCUUGUAAGAGGGCUCACCACCUAUACAUUAUAUGUGACACAAAUUUCAAUAAAUUGUGUCAAUUUAUCAUAAACUAUUUUAGGCUCUAUAAAUCUAUAUGAAUGCAUGAAAUGUGAUGCAAAAUGUUCGAAUGGCCGUUUAAAUACGGUAUUCGACCUAAUUCGCACUAUUCUCUGCGUAAUUGGCUAAAACUUCCAAUUUAACUCCAAAUCGAUUUCUUUCACUUUCUACACUCCAAUUAUACUUAAAAUACCUCAAUGACUAUGAAUAUGAUUCAAUUUAUCAGUCCGAACCAUAAAUCGCACAUGUCUAUACAUUAGGUAAAAAUUUAGAUUUUCAUGCCAAAAUUUCCCAUUAAAUUUCUAGCCUCACCAAUCAUCAAAUACCACCAAAAUAUCAUAAAAUAUCAUCAAUUUCAGCCUCAAUAUCCUCCCUAGAAAAUUCGGCCUCUUGUGGGUUUGUGAAGAACAAAGUGAUUCCUUGGUAGAUUUUCAUACUUUCCAUUAUCAAACAACCAAAAACACUUAAUUAGCUUGAAAUCUAGCUAAAUGAAUGCUCAAAACCUCUCCUCUCAAAUUCGGCAAGCAUGGGUUCAUCAUGCAAACUUGAGUUCUAAGCAUGAAAAAUGAAAAAGAAAGCAUGGGUAGUGUAAAUCACAAGAUAAAAUCACAAAAUUUUACCUUUAUUAGCUUAAUCCCUUAAAAUCCCACACUUUUUCUUCAAUUCUCCCACCUAGGGUUUGUGUUCUUUCCUUUCCCCUUCACUUCAUGCUU